rnacentral:rRNA from 1 species
UACGUAGGGUGCAAGCGUUAAUCGGAAUUACUGGGCGUAAAGCGUGCGCAGGCGGUUUUGUAAGACAGUUGUGAAAUCCCCGGGCUCAACCUGGGAACUGCAUCUGUGACUGCAUCGCUGGAGUACGGUAGAGGGGGAUGGAAUUCCGCGUGUAGCAGUGAAAUGCGUAGAUAUGCGGAGGAACACCGAUGGCGAAGGCAAUCCCCUGGACCUGUACUGACGCUCAUGCACGAAAGCGUGGGGAGCAAACAGG